rnacentral:rRNA from 1 species
AGCGAACGCUGGCGGCGGGCUUAACACAUGCAAGUCGAGCGGGCCCUUCGGGGUCAGCGGCGGGCGGGUGAGUAACGCGUGGGAACGUGCCUUCUGGUUCGGAAUAACCCUGGGAAACUAGGGCUAAUACCGGAUACGCCCUUAUGGGGAAAGGUUUACUGCCGGAAGAUCGGCCCGCGUCUGAUUAGCUAGUUGGUGGGGUAAUGGCCUACCAAGGCGACGAUCAGUAGCUGGUCUGAGAGGAUGAUCAGCCACACUGGGACUGAGACACGGCCCAGACUCCUACGGGAGGCAGCAGUGGGGAAUAUUGGACAAUGGGCGCAAGCCUGAUCCAGCCAUGCCGCGUGAGUGAUGAGGGCCUUAGGGUUGUAAAGCUCUUUUAUCCGGGACGAUAAUGACGGUACCGGAGGAAUAAGCCCCGGCUAACUUCGUGCCAGCCGCCGCGGUAA